AUAACUACUGGAAACGGUGGCUAAUACCGCAUAAUGUCGCAAGACCAAAGAGGGGGACCUUCGGGCCUCUUGCCAUCAGAUGUGCCCAGAUGGGAUUAGCUUGUUGGUGAGGUAACGGCUCACCAAGGCGACGAUCCCUAGCUGGUCUGAGAGGAUGACCAGCCACACUGGAACUGAGACACGGUCCAGACUCCUACGGGAGGCAGCAGUGGGGAAUAUUGCACAAUGGGCGCAAGCCUGAUGCAGCCAUGCCGCGUGUAUGAAGAAGGCCUUCGGGUUGUAAAGUACUUUCAGCGGGGAGG
rnacentral:rRNA from 1 species